rnacentral:rRNA from 1 species
UACGUAGGGUGCGAGCGUUUGUCCGGAAUUACUGGGCGUAAAGAGCUCGUAGGUGGUUUGUCGCGUUGUUCGUGAAAACCGGGGGCUUAACCCUCGGCGUGCGGGCGAUACGGGCAGACUUGAGUACUGCAGGGGAGACUGGAAUCUGUGUAGCGGUGGAAUGCGCAGAUAUCAGGAGGAACACCGGUGGCGAAGGCGGUUCUCUGGGCAUUACCUGACGCUGAGGAGCGAAAGUGUGGGGAGCGAACAGG